GCAUAUCAAUAAGCGGAGGAAAAGAAACUAACAAGGAUUCCCCUAGUAGCGGCGAGCGAAGCGGGAAGAGCUCAAAUUUAUAAUCUGGCACCUUCGGUGUCCGAGUUGUAAUCUCUAGAAAUGUUUUCCGCGCUGGACCGCACACAAGUCUGUUGGAAUACAGCGGCAUAGUGGUGAGACCCCCGUAUAUGGUGCGGACGCCCAGCGCUUUGUGAUACAUUUUCGAAGAGUCGAGUUGUUUGGGAAUGCAGCUCAAAUUGGGUGGUAAAUUCCAUCUAAAGCUAAAUAUUGGCGAGAGACCGAUAGCGAACAAGUACCGUGAGGGAAAGAUGAAAAGCACUUUGGAAAGAGAGUUAACAGUACGUGAAAUUGUUGGAAGGGAAACGCUUGAAGUCAGACUUGCUUGCCGAGCAAUCGGUUUGCAGGCCAGCAUCAGUUUUCCGGGAUGGAUAAUGGUAGAGAGAAGGUAGCAGUUUCGGCUGUGUUAUAGCUCUCUGCUGGAUACAUCUUGGGGGACUGAGGAACGCAGUGUGCCUUUGGCGGGGGUUUCGACCUCUUCACACUUAGGAUGCUGGUGGAAUGGCUUUAAACGACCCGUCUUGAAACACGGACCAAGGAGUCUAACAUGCUUGCGAGUAUUUGGGUGUCAAACCCGGAUGCGUAAUGAAAGUGAAUGGAGGUGGGAACCGCAAGGUGCACCAUCGACCGAUCUGGAUUUUUAAUGAUGGAUUUGAGUAAGAGCACGUAUGUUGGGACCCGAAAGAUGGUGAACUAUGCCUGAAUAGGGCGAAGCCAGAGGAAACUCUGGUGGAGGCUCGUAGCGGUUCUGACGUGCAAAUCGAUCGUCAAAUUUGGGUAUAGGGGCGAAAGACUAAUCGAACCAUCUAGUAGCUGGUUCCUGCCGA
rnacentral:rRNA from 1 species